GCAGCGGAGCGGGAGCGGGUCCGGGCGGGAGCGGGAGCGGGUCCUGGCAGGCCCGGCUCCGCAGGUUCCUACCGGCAAAGGCGCUCUCAAAGGACUAACUGGCAAGCGCCCCGCAACUGCUUUUCCACACCCACAAACUGCUUUGAUACACUACUGAACGUAAAUCUACGGAUCAGCGGCGCUAGAAAUAAGACGAAGGGGUCCCGAUCUGCCGCUUGCCCGAAUACACAGCACGCACUUCACCGUGUUCUUCGCCCCCAAAAAGGCCAACACCCGCAAAGGAUGCACACGAGACAGGGAUGCCAGCCCGACCGAACAAGAUCACAGACGAGGCUUAAUUAUCGGAUUAACAGUCAGAAACAGAUACAUGCAGAAAUGAUGGUGAAACCUGAGGUCUGAACACAGUGGUCAGCCAUUCAUCUGGUUCUUCAGGAGUUUAACACCUUAAUGAAGGCCUCAACAGAGAUUUUGUUAAUCUGGAUAGUGUGGGAUUCAAACCAAUGACCUUCCGACCAUAGAGGUCUAACUUGCUGAAUCACAUACCCCCACAUUAGAUAAACACUUACAGAACACUGACACAUGCAUGAGUUAUACAGAUGCCCAGAAACCACAAAACAUCCACUACGGUGAAAAGAACCUGCGUUGUCUUCUUGUUUUAAUAAUGAAGAAUCAUUGAUGUUUGACUCUCUUUGCAGUGUGAUCAGGUGAUGUAGCACUGGCCAAACUAGUACCAGAGUGAAAGUGAAGCGUUAAAGAAAAUUACCGACGUAGGAGAUGGUGGGGGUGGACAAAAGAGGCCACAAUUCACCUUCCAAUCAAACAGAUUGGCUUCUAAAAAAAUACCCCCAAUGUUUUCUGUGACAUUUUGACUUGACAAGUACAGAACUCCCAAUUUUAGCAACUGCAUGUUCAAGUUGGCGCUUAAACCCGUCCAUUUAAUAGAAGCAUUUGAGAUGCCAUUCUUUUCCAGGACACUUAAAGAGCCAAAAGGAUGGUAUAGGUUGAACACGGUGUAAAGAGUGAAAACCAAUGAACCCCAGGCUUGAAAUAAUCAAUACAAGAAAGCUUAGUGAAAAAUGACAGUAGUGUCUGAGGUCACUCUGAGGUCAUGUAACUGCAUGUCCAAUGAAAUAAGAGCCUCAGCCUCGCAUUGAUUUCUCUCCUUUGACUGAAAGAAAUGCAUAACUUUGCAUGUCCUCAUUCCUUUGGCCCAGAAGUCAUAUACGUGUGCAUUUCAGAAUGAAAUACUGUCAUGCGCUAUUUUCCUUAUGCCAGCUCAAACCAGGGAGAAACUGUGCAAAAAAUUUAACGGAAAGCGAAGUCGGCCAGUCCGACGUAUUGAAGCAACCCAGGCGUGCCUACUCAUCUACACAGUGGACAUUGUUUUUGCUGCAAACCCUCCAUGUGUUUUGCCUUG